UAAUGCUUUGGGCUUGGUUGGCUAGUGUUCUUCCUUCUUCCUUUCCUUCCUUCCUUUCUUUUUUCUUCCUUUCCUUUCUUUUCUUUUCUUUUCUCCUUCCUUUCUCCCUUUCUCUCUUUCUUUCUUUCUUUCUUUCUUUCUUUCUUUCUUUCUUUCUUUCUUUCUUUCUUUCUUUCUUUCUUUCUUUCUUUCUUUCUUUCUUUCUUUCUUUCUUUCUUUCUCUUUCCUUCUUUCUUUCUUUCUUUCCUUCCUUCUUUCUUCUUUCUUCAAACUAAACAUCUCGUUUUCUUUCUUUCUUUCUUUCUUUCUUUCUUUCUUUCUUUCUUUCUUUCUUUCUUUCUUUCUUUCUUUCUUUCUUUCUUUCUUUCUUUCUUUCUUUCUUUCUUUCUUUCUUUCUUUCUUUCUUUCUUUCUUUCUUUCUUUCUUUCUUUCUUUCUCCUUGAAGGAAAGGG
rnacentral:lncRNA from 1 species